GCUGUCCCCUAAAGAUGAAGUGCUCUAAAAUUAUAUUUCAUUUUCCAAAUUCUCUUGUCUUCUUAGCCAUCUUUUCAGGAUUUAAACGCAUUUUUCUUUAUGGGGCUAGGUAGUUGCAUUAAAGAUUGUUUCAGUAUAAUGACAUGCCACCAAAACAUGAAUGACUUUUGUAGUGAUAUUUUGUUUUUUUUAGAUCCAUUUUCACAGCCCAUGUUAUAUUAGUAUACUAUUAUAGCAAUAUAAACCUUGUUUCAGUGUUAUUUCUGUAUUUGUGAUAGUAAUCUGCUAUGAAUAAAACUAGUUUCAAUUUU
rnacentral:lncRNA from 1 species